GAAUCAUACAAACCUGCAUGGUAGGCCCUCACCCACCCGCACAGCGGGCUAUUCUGUUUUCACACACUAGAUGUCGCUCUCUACCCAGCGAUGUCAGCACUGUGGUCGUUAAUUAGAAAAGAAAGCUAUUUGGAAGAGGGUUCGGAUGUGGCUGCAAAACAUAUUUUCAAUUACUUCCAAAUAGGACAUUUUCCCCGACAGCUUGUAAGAGGCAUUCAUUAUUUCUUCGGGAAAAAGAAAGCCUUCAGAACUCAUUGCAAGAGAAAGAAGAGUUGGUGGCCGCCUUUUCUCUUCCCCGCUCCAUGGCCCUGGAAUCCUGGCAUCUGGGUGAACCAUGCUGAGACGGGGCUUGUCUCCGGGAUUAGGGCCUCAGCCAAGGACAGCCCUGCAAGAGGGGCUGGCACUGGAAUCUGCCCCGAGACGCGAGUCGCGGGGAAUUGUCUCCCCGAGCCCUCUCAUCACCCCAAGAGCUGGAGGAAGAGAUUGCAGCUUCAUUUUCUUGAUGUAACUGGCAUUUUGCACCAUGAAAACUACGUGGGAAUCUUCUGAUUGGAUGGUCAAGGAGAAAGAAACCCGCAGUAGGGGAAUUCUUUGUUUUCAGGUUGUUUAAAUGGAAACAAUAGGAAGUUUUUCAUGGAUGAUCGUCAUGUCCCCUCUUAUUCUAGCAGACAGACCAUAAACCAGUUGUCUCAGAACCGGGGAACAAGACAGGAUCUCACUCUGUACUUCAGAUUGGCCUUAGCCCAGCUGACCUCAAACUCAUGGUGAUCCUCCUGCCUCAGCUUCCCAAGUGCUGGGAUAACAGGCUAAUGGAACAAAACCCCACAGUGUGAGUGGCUUAUGAACAACAGAGAUUUAUUUCUCACAGUCCUGGAGGCUGAAGGUACAGGAUCAAGGCACUCAGACUCGGUAUCUGUCCAUGUAAGAAUAUGACCUGACGUGACACAUUCUGCUGACCUUCUACCUUUUGCUUACUGAUGAGAAUGAAAAGGAACUAUGCAUUGUCCUGUUUUUCCCUCUCUAAUGUCAUCAUUUCAGUGUGUGAGUCAGCUUUCCACUGCUGUAACAAAGACCUUAGAUGAAUCAGCUUAUAAAGAGAAAAGGUGAGAAGGUCCUGGAAUAUGUUUAAUCGGUGGGCCAUUUCUAAAAGAAGCUACCUUGGUGCAAGGAGAUCCUGCACUGAUCUAACUGUUGGCUGUGUUAUGGUGGGUGAUGGGGCCUGGGCAGGUUCCUGGGUGUGCGACUAACAAACAGUUGGACAUGACACAUGAUGUUCACCCUGUUAUGAUCACAUGUAUGAGAUGCAGUCCCUACACAUGAACCUCCAGUGAGCUCUAAGUGAGGAAAGGCUACAGGUCAUGCAGCAGGUCUGGUGGAAUAAGAGAAAUCAGCAUAUCAGAGUGGGUGGAGGCCAGAUAAGCUGGCUUUGAAUUCCAGACCUAGCAGCAGUUGCUGUGUGGCUUGUGAAGAUUACUUUCCUGCUCUGUGCUUUAACCGGCUUGUCAGGUGGAUGUGGGAUUGUGUAAGUAAAGUGCUCCUAAUAGUGCCUGCCCCGGGACACCCUCAGAAAGUAAGCUCUUACAAUUAGAAAAAAAAAAAGGUUUGAUAAUCACUUGCAUUGUGGCCAUUGCCACAGGGUCCCACAAUCUUUGCAUCAGGUGUCUUGCAUGCUUUUUAAGUGUUAAAAUAAAACCUUCAUGCUCCCAUCCUGGAUAGAUUUUCAAUUCUUCUUAUUCCAACAAAUGGUAAAAUAGAUUUCUUAAUCUGUCCCUGUGUCUUGAGAGUCAGGCCCGACUGACAGGCUGAGCGCUGCUCCGGUCCACAAGAGUCCUCAGUCACAGCAGCUGGGAGAGCUCUCUGGCAAAUGUGCAAACGUGCAGGUGUACAUUUGCAAAUCGUUGCUUGAUGUACAUAAGAAUCUGGAAUGUAGAGAACACGCCAAAUCAGCCCGCUGUAGACAGGCAGGUCUGCGCAUGCCCUACCGAGGUCCUGAGUCCCACAGAAGAUGCCAAAUCACCCUGCUGCAGACAGGUAGGUCUGCUCACACCCCACCGAGGUCUCCAGAUGUGUGGAAUAAGCCGAAUCAGCCCGCUGCAGACAGGAAGGUCUGUGCAUGCCCUACUGAGGUCCUGAGUCCCGCGGAAGACACCGAAUCACCCCGCUGCAGACAGGCAGCCACCUGGUUCCACACUACAAAGAGGCAGAGGACACCAGACCACCAGACCAAGGUAC
ensembl:lncRNA